AGAGUUUGAUCAUGGCUCAGAAUCAACGCUGGCGGCGUGCCUAACACAUGCAAGUCGAACGAGAAAGUGAAGCUUGCUUCACGGGUAGAGUGGCAGACGGGUGAGUAACACGUGAACAACCUACCCUUGAGUGGGGAAUAACACAGCGAAAGUUGUGCUAAUACCGCAUAAUAUCUCGAAAUCGCAUGAUUUUGAGAUCAAAAGCGAAAGUUGCUUGAGGAGGGGUUCGCGCCUGAUUAGCUAGUUGGUGAGGUAACGGCUCACCAAGGCAACGAUCAGUAGCCGGCCUGAGAGGGUGAACGGCCACACUGGAACUGAGACACGGUCCAGACUCCUACGGGAGGCAGCAGUGGGGAAUUUUGCGCAAUGGGCGAAAGCCUGACGCAGCAACGCCGCGUGGAGGAUGAAGGCCUUCGGGUCGUAAACUCCUGUCAGUGGGGAAGAAUGCUUCGCAAGAAGUUUGACUGUACCCGCUGAGGAAGCCACGGCUAACUCCGUGCCAGCAGCCGCGGUAAUACGGAGGUGGCAAGCGUUGUUCGGAAUUACUGGGCGUAAAGGGCGCGUAGGCGGCUUAGCAAGUCAGGUGUGAAAUCCCCGAGCUUAACUUGGGAAUUGCUCCUGAAACUGCUGAGCUUGAGUCCUGGAGGGGAUAGCGGAAUUCCCAGUGUAGCGGUGAAAUGCGUAGAUAUUGGGAGGAACACCUGCGGCGAAGGC
rnacentral:rRNA from 1 species